rnacentral:tRNA from 1 species
UGGGUCAUUCUCUUCUCAAGGACA